rnacentral:rRNA from 1 species
CAAGGUUAAAACUCAAAUGAAUUGACGGGGGCCCGCACAAGCGGUGGAGCAUGUGGUUUAAUUCGAUGCAACGCGAAGAACCUUACCUACUCUUGACAUCCAGAGAACUUAGCAGAGAUGCUUUGGUGCCUUCGGGAACUCUGAGACAGGUGCUGCAUGGCUGUCGUCAGCUCGUGUUGUGAAAUGUUGGGUUAAGUCCCGCAACGAGCGCAACCCUUAUCCUUUGUUGCCAGCGGUCCGGCCGGGAACUCAAAGGAGACUGCCAGUGAUAAACUGGAGGAAGGUGGGGAUGACGUCAAGUCAUCAUGGCCCUUACGAGUAGGGCUACACACGUGCUACAAUGGCGCAUACAAAGAGAAGCGACCUCGCGAGAGCAAGCGGACCUCAUAAAGUGCGUCGUAGUCCGGAUUGGAGUCUGCAACUCGACUCCAUGAAGUCGGAAUCGCUAGUAAUCGUGGAUCAGAAUGCCACGGUGAAUACGUUCCCGGGCCUUGUACACACCGCCCGUCACACCAUGGGAGUGGGUUGCAAAAGAAGUAGGUAGCUUAACCUCGGGAGGGCGCUUACCACUUUGGAUUCA